rnacentral:lncRNA from 1 species
GUAGGGAAGGAGGUUUUCUGGCGGUGGGACUCAGUGAGUGUUGGGGGAGGGGGGGAACAAAGCGACGGCCAUGUUAACUUGAAUCGCUGCCAUGUGCGUGUUUCCCGCUCUGGAACACCUGUCAGGCGGCCCAAGCUGACCACGGGCUCUAUCUCUCGCCCCUUGGCCGCUUCCCAGCCUCCAGAUAAUGCAUUAGGGGUCACGGUGACAGGUUUUAUUGUGGUGGGCGCUACUGGAAGCAGCGUGGAGUUGGCGUGCUGCGAGUCACGGGACCCCUUCCCACUCCCCCCUCUCACUCACCCGCUCAUUUACUCACUCACCCGCUCAUUUACUCACUCACCUGCCCAUAUACUCACUCAUUUACUCAGCUGGGUGUAGAACACUUCGUGUUUGAGACUGCACACUGCGUAUAUUGACCUAACCUAGCGUGUGUGUGUGUGUGAGAUGCUUAUAGUAUAGUGUGGGGGUAUAUCAUUAGUUAUAAUGUAUGAUGGAUAUACUCUUUUUAAAUUAUUUUUGGAAUGUGUGAAAUAUAUAUGUAUGUAUGGCAUGACCGUAUCCUCCAUUCAUUCAAGCUCUCACGUAAUAAAACACACAUGCUUUACUCAUUCAUAUGCUGUGCACUCAUUUAGUUCUUCAAUACUCUUCACUAUUGACCAUCUCUUAUAAUAGAUUCAGAUUCAGAUAAUAGUAAUUACCUAAGUAGUUACAGGAUGAGAGCUACGCUCAUGGUGUCCCGUUUAGUAUGCACUUAAAUAUGCCUGUAGUGUGUAUACAGUAGACGAGGGCUUCAUGUAUAUUGCCUGAUAUAGGACAUAUGGGCAGGGAAGGCCUUACUCUGGAGGAACAUGCCUCUUAUUUGUUGCAUCAUGUUGCUAGGUACAGAAAAUGGUUUGCAUUCAUGCCUAACCAAAGUACCGAUAAUAAUAAUAAUGUUUAUUCAAGUAAAAGUACAUACCUGUACAAAGAAAAUGAGUUACAUAGUAUUCGAUUUGUAGAUAGCAUAUACUAUGAGAUAGUAUAUACUAUGCCUAAAGCCACUAAUAGGCACAGUGUUUUGGGUGAGAUGUGGAAAAACACUUAAAAAAUAAGACAAACUAAUUGAGAUCAAAAGAAUGAAUUGGACUGAAAAAGGGAAAAAAAAGGAUGACAAUAGUUAUAUGUUGGAUGGAACAGCAGAAAUUGCAACAGAUGAGCAGAAAUAAUUUUAACUAAAUAAACUGACUAAAUAUCUUUUUAAGACAGUACAUGGUUUUGCACAAGUUUAUACAUGGAAGAUGUCAGCAGUUAUACAAUUUUGUUGAUAAUCUACUGAUUAUCUACUAAUGUGGAAGAGAAGAGUGUUUGAAAAUAGCAAGACAUAAGUUGACAUUUAGGAGACAGGAAAUGACCUAUGCAUCACCAGAAUUGAUGACUUCAUGUCAUCUCAACCAAUCAGCAAUCGGCUGACAUCUCUCCCUAAUUGCAAGUGUCAUCCAUAUUUAAUGACAUUGCAGUUUGUAUGGAUUCUAAGGUACAUAUAACUGUCCUUUUAUUUUUUCUGGAUAUUAGGUCUGAAAAAGCUUUGAUAUUAUAUACAGCACAAUAUUGGUAGUAUUUUUAUACAUUUUAUGUAAAGGUUGGUUAUUUUUAUUUUCGUGUAGAUAGUAACCACAUCAUCAAAUUUGCAGAUGACACAAAGAUUUAUGGUAAAGUGAGAAAUGAUAAUGAUAUUGAAGCACUACAAAGAGAUCUACAUAAACUACAAAUGGUCAGAAGACUGGCCAAUGCUUUUUAAAUUAAUAUCGAUAAAUGCAAGACUGUGCAUGUGGGGCAUAGCAACCCACGCCACGACUACCAAAUUAAUAGCAUUACAUUACAGUAGAUUGAUGAAGAAAAGGACCUUGGUAUCAAAAUCCACCACUCGUUAAAAGUUACACAACAGGUGGGUGCAGCAAUCAGAAAAGCUAACCAAACUCUUGGGAUAAUCAAGUGUACCUUUGAGUAUAAGGAAAAGAAGAUAAUGGUUCAACUGUAUAAAUCUCUGGUGCACCCCUAUUUGGACUACUGUAUCCAAGCAUGGAGACCUUAUUUUCAGAAUGACAUAGCUGCUCUGGAAAAGGUGCAACACCUGGCAACAAAGGUCAUUCCAGAGCUAAGUUAUCUCUUGUAACAGGAACAGUUGAAGGCCACAGGGCUAACAAUGCAAACCAGGCAUGACAGGGUGGAUCUCAUUGAAACUUUUAACAUACUGAAUGUUAAAGGAUGUUGAUCCGGAUAUUUUCUUCAGAAGGUCAGAUGUAACACAAACAAGGAGCAGUGGUUUCAAGCCAACAAGACAAUGUAAGACUGAGAACAGGAGAUGCUUUUUCACUCACAGGGUUAUUAACCCACGGAACCAUCUACCUGCCGAAGCCAUAACUGCCAAAAUUGUGUUGUUUUAAAAUAUACCUGGAAAAAAUCAAGGCAAAUGGGGAAACCUUCAAAUUGCUGCCGGCUUCCUGUCCUUAUUGAGGCCCUCAGGAAAAUCAGGUAUGUGUGCAUUAGUGCAAGACGCUUGCCUGUGGACUACUGAAGUGCUCCAACAAAUUUGACUCGUUAGCAGUUCAAUGCCAUAAAUAAGCAUUACUCUGGUCACAUUUGACUACAGUACAACUAUUCAAAGGUUUAUCCAGCAUUUGUUGCGAUAUCACAAAAUAAUUGUCAUUUAAUACAGGUUUAGAAAUUUAACUCUUGACCUAAUGGUCUAAUUUGAUUUAGAACUUUAGAUAUUCUGAGUAUGGUUCAGCUAGUACUGCACAGUUAGGUGAUGUUGAUUUGAUAAGAAUAUAAGAAAACAUUUGAAUAAAUGGGGGAUUCCAUUAAAUGAGCUGAUAGGGAUUUGACUCCUAUAACUGCCUACUUGAAAUGGCAAAAUUACAGAGAGGGUAACGAUGUCAUUCUCCAAACAUUUACUGUUCUUGGUGAACUAAAAAAUUGUUUAGUUUAUUGCAAAACUUGUGUUACAAAUCAAGAGAAAUGAUGUUGCUUUCUAUCGAACCGGACCGGACUGUGAUGGAUAUGCGGGCCUGCGGGCCACUCCAAGCAGCCUGUUGGAUCAAGCUCUCACAAGUCAAGCCUGGCCUCGGGCUGGGCUUGGGGAAUAGAACUCCCAGCGCCUCAUGAAG